CCAUCAUGGAGCGGGAACGGCUCUGCCGGGACAAGCGCAGAUCCUGGCGGGGUGUGGUAACACCGAGCCCCGUGCAACAAGAAACGGAAGGGGAGUGCAUUUGUAAAUAAUUUACUAGAAUGACCUACAUGCUACCAAGCCUUUGUUCCCUCUUAUGCAGUUAGUAGAGAACCACACAGCCUCAGAGAAUGAAGUCUGAGGACCGAACGCUGAGAGGUGACACAGAGCAGAGGCAUCCGAGCCUUUCCUGUGGGAAGGCAGCCUGAGGUGCCUUCAGAGUUUCUAAGCUUUUCCAAGCUUUGUGGAGAAGCGGGAGAGGGAGAGAUGUCCCACAGCCCUGCGGAGGGAGCAGGGAGGGGACAGCUUGCUGAUGGUGCUUGUCACGUGUUUGGAGCUGCCAGCGCUGCACUGGGGCGGCAGCGUGUGCAUGGAGAGGGAGAGCUAUGGUGGAGGAAUCAAGGCCUGGGCUAAUUGCCAGCAAAAGAAAGCAGAUCGUGCUCUUCAUGAGAGCAGAGAAACUGGGCCUGGUGUGUGAGCUGCCUUUGAGAGCUGGCUGGAGAUGGGACUCCACGAUGCCCAGCUACAUGGCACAGUUCCCUGGACAUUGCCAAGCCGUGGUGGCCUUGGGGAUCGACAGCAGGACGCUUCCUCUCUGCAAUCUUUGCCUUCUGUCAUGGGAUGAGGUGUGGUGCACAAACGUGAAACAUCAGUCACUAGCCACCGGUGGGGCCAAAGGAAGGCUACUGCUCACGCUUGUUGCUACUUUCUUCUUCUUUAUAAUUCUGCUCUGUCAAUCGUGUGAUUAUAGAAGAAUCUCAGUUUUCAGCUAAGAAAUGUAUGCUUUUCUUGCUGGCUCUUGCAGAGACAAACCUGGAAAUUCUAGAGUGUUGAGUCCAAAGACUGAAGAGUCAGAAGAUAAACAAGCACAGAAUCCAACGUUACUGGUUUUCCAAAUUUUUUAAUUGUAUUGUUUAGGUGACUGACAGUAUUUUGGAACCCCUCUCUCGAAGGUUUGGGAUUAGCUGUCCCAAAAAGAAGAGCAUGUUGGCUGCCUAGUGCUACUUGGGAAUGUCAAAAUCCCAGCCCAUGGCUCUGCAGAACUCGCUUAGUCUCUCUUGCUCAGAAGCCCAGGACCACCUUCUGAGGCUUGGAGAGAAAAGCUGGUCAGGUUUUCUCUGUGAGCUCUGCUUCACGUGGCAGUCCAGCUGGACAGCCCUGCCAGCAGCAGGAGCUGUGGCCCCUCCAUGGCUACCUGGCCUCCCCUGUGAAGCAGAAGUAGCACUGGCAUUUCUUAGCAGGUGAGGAUCCACCCAGCACACUGCUGCAGUACCUGGCAUCUUUGUGUCUGCCCUGACCAUUCCACUCGGCACCAACAGCGUGUGCACAACCUGUGCUUCUUUGUUUUUGGCUGUGGCUUCUCUGUGGACAGACUUGCUAUCUCUGGGCCUACAGAGAUGAUUCAUGUUUCUCCAUUUUUAGACAUAAUAAUAAUAAUAAUAACCAGUGUCUUCUGACUCCCACUUGUGCUGCCCCUCAGUGUGUGCACCUCGGCCCUGGGAGCCGAGGAGCUGUACCCACUCAUUGCUGCUGAAGUUGGCUGACCUCAGUGCAGGGAUGGGAUGCGGGGUGGAGGUGUGCAGCUCUUCCCGAGUCCACAUUGCUCAGUCGGUCACCUCUUAUCUCACUGAUGGAUCGAAACCCCACGAAUUCACGCUGUGGUGGAUGUGACUGUGUCCGUUGCAAACGCAGCUGUUCCAAAACGCAAACCAGAAUUUUUAAGUGCUGCUGAAGUGGUGAAAACCCUUUGAGGAGCAGGUGUGGGGCCGGUGGAUGGCAAAACCUUCCUCAGUGAAACUGCUCAAAAGAGCAAGUCUGUUAACGAACAGAGGGUCUGUGUCCGGGUCCAACAGCACUGGCAGAUGGCAAGAGCCAGCAGCAAGAGUGAGCAGUGCACCCUAGGAAAAGCAUCCAGAAUAAACCAGGAAGGUGAAGGAACGCGUCAGUCUAAGCUUUGCUUCCUGACACGACACAAAGCCCGUCCCAGGAAGGAGUGCUGCUGCAGCGACAGAGCGGUGCAGUGGGAUGUCUGCCCCAGAGCUGUGCUGCGUGCGGCCCCCGAAGUGCACGUGGGCAGGGCUGGUUUUUCCAUCUCUCUUUACUACCAGAAAAAGCAAAGCACCCCUCUGAGCGUGCUCGCCGGACUAGGAUGAGCGUGCACGCAUGUGUGUUUUGCGGGUGCACAACGCCGAGCACGUGAACAGCGGCCGCAGGGUGUCAUGGAGCAUGCAGCCCACGCAGGGCCGGGCCGGGCCGGGCGUGCUGACGGCAGCGUGGCUGUGGCGGGCAGGGCUCCUCCGUGCGCUGAUGAAACGCAGCUGGGCUCCGCAACCAGCUCACUUGGUAGAGAAGAGUCUAGAAGGGCUCGUGCCAGCUAUAAACAGAGCGAUCAGCAUACACAGGAUGUGGAAUUAUCUCAUCUGCGCUCAUUGAAGACUGUUGACUCUGAGGGGAGUGUUUACUUGAGGACACCUCGCCUGGCCAGGAAGGAGCAAUGCGGAGAGCGAGCGCUGGUUCCUCCCAGUCACAGCCCAACCAGCCUGUGCUGCGCCGAGAUGGAAGAAGUGAGCACAGAGAGGUGCGGUGACUCAUCAGCCGCAGCUGAGGCAGAGCUGGAGCUGCGGAGCCAAUCUCCCAGCCCUGACAUUGCCGGCAGUCACGUUCUCACCCGGCGCUGGGACGUGGGCAGCGCCAGCCCCAUCCACCUGCCACCCACCUGUCCUGGGAGGCGGCAGCGUGCAUCUCAGCGUGUACAGAAAGAGAUCAGAUCGCCGUGGCUUGCUCCGUGUGCUGGUGUCAUCGCAGCGUGUAGCAGGAAGGCCAGAUUGCUUCUCUGACAGCUCCGUGACCUGACAGCUGCCCACAGUCUGAGCAGUGCUGCUCCUGACCAGGAGAGCCAACCUGCUGCGAGCUGCUGCAGCUCAGUGCACGAGUGCUGGGGGAACAUCCAGGGCCCCAAGAGGACAUCCUUCCUGUAUUAGUAUUGCCUCCCUGAACUAUCAAUUAAAAAGAACGCCACAAUUCUGUACCCUGUGGAUGCCGCCUGCCUUCUGUGCGCGCACAAAUCCCACUACGAGAGGUACUGUAAGUACUGAGGUGUUAAAGACGCCAGAGGGAGCCCAGUGGGAUUUCAGAAGAGCAGCGGUCCCGACUGCUUUGGAUGUCAGCGCAGGUCGGACGUGUGAGCCCCAGGCCCCGCCUGUAGGGCCCCACCACCUUUGGAACCUGGUUCCCUCAGCUCCCUCUGUGAAUACGGCAGUUAGCUCCCAGGGUAUUGCGAGGAUGGAAAAAGUAAAGACUAUGAGUUCUCAGGAAAUAUUGAAACGGGGUCAACUGAGUAACAUUUAAGUCAAUUAGAAAGACGGUCUGUUAACAGUCUGUUAAUAGCUGGCUGAGAUGGAUUCCCAUGAUUCCCGGUGCCAGCAUCUCCGCUCACACAAGGAAAUAUUUAUGACUCUUCUCCCUCAAAAGCCCGGUUAACCUCAUUUAAAGCAGAGAGCACGAAGAUAGAUCUAUCAACAUUAGGGACAUCAACUCUCCCUUUUUGUCCCCACGAUUACAAGAGAAAAGGAGAAUUCAAACCUUAAAGUGGGAAGUGAAUUACGCAGAGUGGCCGCAGAUGGGAGCCAUUAAAUGCCCGGCUGCGUUUUUUUAAUUGAAACAAUACAGCAAUUUACUAUACAAAUAGCUCUGGCAGAGCGCUGCUCUGGUGCUGUGGAAGCUGCCCGCCCCGCGUCCCACGGGUCACACACGGCAGCACGGCGCGGACCUCCCGCUCCCAGCACAGCCGCCGGCACCCGGGGCGAGGCGCACCCCUGGGCACAGCACCGCGGCUCCGCCUCGCUUUCCAGACGACUCCAGGAACGUCAGGACGAGCUCCCAGCGGCAGCUCCCGGCCCAUUACCAAAUACAGAGUCCAGAGGGAAGCGAGUCCUCGCUCCUCCUUUUGGGCGAGGCGAAGGGGAAAAAACAAAGCCGGAUGGGUCCCACUGUCAUCUUGACUGCCCGCGGGUUUUGGUCUGAGCUCCCGAAGCUUUAGGCCUGCCUGUAAGUCCAGCUUUGAAAGGGAAGGCGUUUAUUUUCAGUUUUCUGACGAGUGAGUAAUGGGGCUGCCAUCUAGAGGCCACUGCAACUUUCCAGCACAUUCCUUCGGACAGGAGUGGCAUUGUCAAUAACCUCCUCCUCCCACUACCUCCUCAUGAAGGACUUCUCGCUUCUAAAUGAAACUGUUACAGUACAAAGCAGUUCUCCAUCCACAUCCCUGCCCACGGCGGUGGGCUGGAACUGGGUGAUCUUUAGCGUCCCCUCCAACCUGAGCCAUUCUAUGACUGUGUCAUCUCUCAUUCAACGAUUGCAAAUUCUGCCUCAAUCAAUCCGGCUUAAGAAGGAGCUCUACUGAUAGGUAAUCUGUGUAUCCACUGCAGGAAUGGGAUGCUGGGAGUGCUGGCUCUAUGAGUCUCAGCUCCAUCCUUCCAUCCUGUCCCUGAGCUGAACAGCACCAGCCAAACUGGGCCAAACUCAGCGGGAUCCACUUUAGACCCUGCCUUGCAUAGAAGUCGGCUGCUGCAAAUGUGAACAGGAGGCAGAUACAGGGCAGCCAUGGCCACCCACCGCUCACCACGUGAGCUGCCUGCUCACUUGUGCUAAACCCUGUGCCCAAAUGGAGCGGCCCGGCAGGCUGCAGGGCAGCAGGGAGUGAGGGCCGCACUGUGCUGCGCAGGCCUGGCAGCAGAGGAACCCCACUCCAGUGCUUUGCAGAGCACUUCAAAUUUGCUUGCAGACUGCCUGCCUCGCACCCCGCACCCACCAAUUGCAAAAUCCCCUGUUGAUAUGACUAAGAGUCACGCUCUGCAGCCUCAGCUUUGGGUUCUACCUCUCUCGGUCCUGAAAUGGGGACAGGGAAGUGCCAGAUGCUUUCUGUUCUCCUUGCUCAGGACUCUGCGACCAUGGGUGUUUUUGAGUCAGCGGUGCUCAAGGGACCUUUCAGUCAGCAUAACUGCGUGAGUGGCCAAAUAAAAACAGGCCCAAACGCCAAUGGGGCUCUGCUUACAUCAAGGAAAGGGGAAGCAGCUCUUCUACAGCGAGCGCUAGCGA
ensembl:lncRNA